rnacentral:rRNA from 1 species
GAUGAACGCUGGCGGCGUGCCUAAUACAUGCAAGUCGAGCGAACAGACGAGAGUGCUUGCCCUCUCUGACGUUAGCGGCGGACGGGUGAGUAACACGUGGGUAACCUACCUAUAAGACUGGGAUAACUUCGGGAAACCGGAGCUAAUACCGGAUAAUAUUUAGCUUCGCAUGAAGCAAUAGUGAAAGACGGUUCUGCUGUCACUUAUAGAUGGACCCGCGGUGUAUUAGCUAGUUGGUGAGGUAACGGCUCACCAAGGCAACGAUACAUAGCCGACCUGAGAGGGUGAUCGGACACACUGGGACUGAGACACGGCCCAGACUCCUACGGGAGGCAGCAGUAGGGAAUCUUCCGCAAUGGACGAAAGUCUGACGGAGCAAUGCCGCGUGAGUGAAGAAGGUGUUCGGAUCGUAAAACUCUGUUGUAAGGGAAGAACAAGUACGUUAGUAACUGAACGUACAUUGACGGUACCUUACCAGAAAGCCACGGCUAACUCCGUG